rnacentral:tRNA from 1 species
CCUUCGAUAGCUCAGUUGGUAGAGCGGUGGACUGUAGAUGUGAUCUUCUUAAGAUAGAAAUCCAUAGGUCGCUGGUUCAAAUCCGGCUCGAAGGA